rnacentral:rRNA from 1 species
UACGGAGGGGGCUAGCGUUGUUCGGAAUUACUGGGCGUAAAGCGCACGUAGGCGGCGAUUUAAGUCAGAGGUGAAAGCCCGGGGCUCAACCCCGGAACUGCCUUUGAGACUGGAUUGCUAGAAUCUUGGAGAGGCGAGUGGAAUUCCGAGUGUAGAGGUGAAAUUCGUAGAUAUUCGGAAGAACACCAGUGGCGAAGGCGGCUCGCCGGACAAGUAUUGACGCUGAGGUGCGAAAGCGUGGGGAGCAAACAGG